UACGUAGGGUGCGAGCGUUGUCCGGAAUUAUUGGGCGUAAAGAGCUCGUAGGCGGUCUGUCGCGUCGAUAGUGAAAACUUGGGGCUUAACCCUGAGCUUGCGGUCGAUACGGGCAUGACUGGAGUUCGGCAGGGGAGACUGGAAUUCCUGGUGUAGCGGUGAAAUGCGCAGAUAUCAGGAGGAACACCGGUGGCGAAGGCGGGUCUCUGGGCCGAUACUGACGCUGAGGAGCGAAAGCGUGGGGAGCGAACAGG
rnacentral:rRNA from 1 species